ACAGACACAACACAAUCACUCACUGCAGAAGUAACCAAAGGCAUACACCAACACUCUGUUGGUAAGAUGCUCGAGUCAUGGUAGUUCAUAGCAGGUCUGAUACAAGCAUACAUCCACAGGCUGUUGGUAAGAUGCUCGAGUCAUGGUAGUUCAUAGCAGGUCUGAUACAGGCAUACACCAACACUCUGUUGGUAAGAUGCUCGAGUCAUGGUAGUUCAUAGCAGGUCUGAUACAGGCAUACAUCCACAGGCUGUUGGUAAGAUGCUCGAGUCAUGGUAGUUCAUAGCAGGUCUGAUACAGGCAUACACCAACACUCUGUUGGUAAGAUGCUCGAGUCAUGGUAGUUCAUAGCAGGUCUGAUACAGGCAUACAUCCACAGGCUGUUGGUAAGAUGCUCAAGUCAUGGUAGUUCAUAGCAGGUCUGAUACAGGCAUACAUCCACAGGCUGUUGGUAAGAUGCUCGAGUCAUGGUAGUUCAUAGCAGGUCUGAUACAGGCAUACAUCCACAGGCUGUUGGUAAGAUGCUCGAGUCAUGGUAGUUCAUAGCAGGUCUGAUACAAGCAUACAUCCACAGGCUGUUGGUAAGAUGCUCGGGUCAUGGUAGUUCAUAGCAGGUCUGAUACAGGCAUACAUCCACAGGCUGUUGGUAAGAUGCUCGGGUCAUGGUAGUUCAUAGCAGGUCUGAUACAAGCAUACAUCCACAGGCUGUUGGUAAGAUGCUCGGGUCAUGGUAGUUCAUAGCAGGUCUGAUACAAGCAUACAUCCACAGGCUGUUGGUAAGAUGCUCGAGUCAUGGUAGUUCAUAGCAGGUCUGAUACAGGCAUACACCAACACUCUGUUGGUAAGAUGCUCGGGUCAUGGUAGUUCAUAGCAGGUCUGAUACAGGCAUACAUCCACAGGCUGUUGGUAAGAUGCUCGGGACAUGGUAGUUCAUAGCAGGUCUGAUACAAGCAUACAUCCACAGGCUGUUGGUAAGAUGCUCGAGUCAUGGUAGUUCAUAGCAGGUCUGAUACAAGCAUACAUCCACAGGCUGUUGGUAAGAUGCUCGGGUCAUGGUAGUUCAUAGCAGGUCUGAUACAAGCAUACAUCCACAGGCUGUUGGUAAGAUGCUCGAGUCAUGGUAGUUCAUAGCAGGUCUGAUACAAGCAUACAUCCACAGGCUGUUGGUAAGAUGCUCGGGUCAUGGUAGUUCAUAGCAGGUCUGAUACAAGCAUACAUCCACAGGCUGUUGGUAAGAUGCUCGGGUCAUGGUAGUUCAUAGCAGGUGGGCGGAUACAAGCAUACAUCCACAGGCUGUUGGUAAGAUGCUCGGGUCAUGGUAGUUCAUAGCAGGUGGGCGGAUACAAGCAUACAUCCACAGGCUGUUGGUAAGAUGCUCGGGUCAUGGUAGUUCAUAGCAGGUGGGCGGAUACAAGCAUACAUCCACAGGCUGUUGGUAAGAUGCUCGGGUCAUGGUAGUUCAUAGCAGGUGGGCGGAUACAAGCAUACAUCCACAGGCUGUUGGUAAGAUGCUCGGGUCAUGGUAGUUCAUAGCAGGUGGGCGGAUACAAGCAUACAUCCACAGGCUGUUGGUAAGAUGCUCGGGUCAUGGUAGUUCAUAGCAGGUGGGCGGAUACAAGCAUACAUCCACAGGCUGUUGGUAAGAUGCUCGGGUUAUGUUGGUAGUUCAUAGCAGGUGGGCGGAUACAAGCAUACAUCCACAGGCUGUUGGUAAGAUGCUCGGGUCAUGGUAGUUCAUAGCAGGUGGGUGGAUACAAGCAUACAUCCACAGGCUGUUGGUAAGAUGCUCGGGUCAUGGUAGUUCAUAGCAGGUCUGAUACAAGCAUACAUCCACAGGCUGUUGGUAAGAUGCUCGGGUCAUGGUAGUUCAUAGCAGGUCUGAUACAAGCAUACAUCCACAGGCUGUUGGUAAGAUGCUCGGGACAUGGUAGUUCAUAGCAGGUCUGAUACAAGCAUACAUCCACAGGCUGUUGGUAAGAUGCUCGGGUCAUGGUAGUUCAUAGCAGGUCUGAUACAAGCAUACAUCCACAGGCUGUUGGUAAGAUGCUCGGGUCAUGGUAGUUCAUAGCAGGUCUGAUACAGGCAUACACCAACACUCUGUUGGUAAGAUGCUCAGGUCAUGGUAGUUCAUACAAGCAUACAUCCACAGGCUGUUGGUAAGAUGCUCGGGUCAUGGCAGUU